CCAGAACUCCACCUGGAACUGGCAGCCCAGCCCCAGGCUUCGGGCUGUACCUGGCUUGAAGGUGGGGUUUCCCCCAGGACCUAGCCCUUCCCACCUAGGAACCUGUCUGCCUCCCAGUGCCAUCAACCUGCUAUCUGUGGCGCCCAGGCAAUCUGCACCAAGGGUCACUCGCAGGCCCACGCCAAGCCACUCUCAGCCAGUCCAGAUGUGGCAGGGUGCUGGUGUGUCACUGCCGCCCAGAGCAAGCACACACCUGGGACUCACUGUGACACAUUCCAGCCUGUGGAAAGAAAGACUUCUAUUUCAAGGUGAGAAAUGAGAAGCAGGCUGACUUGAUCAACAUUUCAAACUUGCUAAGGUAUACUGAAUAUAACUUCUAGAAGGAUCAAAGAUUAGUAGAGGAUACAAGAAAAAGCACACAAAUAACUACAAAAUAAAGGCCAGUAAGAUAAAUAUCAUAAGAGUGCGGCAAACAAAGUUUGAGAAUAAAGAAGAAACAGCAUCACAUUAUCUGUUUAGUGUCUUAACAGCUGUAUGCAAGGUGGCAAAGAAAUGCAUGUAUUCAUUUUGCAUAUUUAAAAUUACAAGUGUCUACAGCUCACAGACAAUCUUUGAAUAAUUUUUUGCAAGUGUCUAAUAAAUGUUUUGGAAAUAAUAAUGAAGUCGUUUUUUAAAUAUCAAAUGAGAGAUUAUUAAUAUCGAUGUAUAAAACCCAAGGCUAACAUUUAUUUUCUAUAUUCCUUGCUUGGAC
rnacentral:lncRNA from 1 species